UGGGGAAUUUUGGACAAUGGGCGAAAGCCUGAUCCAGCAAUGCCGCGUGUGUGAAGAAGGCCUUCGGGUUGUAAAGCACCUUUGUCCGGAAAGAAAUCCUUGGCUCUAAUACAGUCGGGGGAUGACGGUAUCGGAAGAAUAAGCACCGGCUAACUACGUGCCAGCAGCCGCGGUAAUACGUAGGGUGCAAGCGUUAAUCGGAAUUACUGGGCGUAAAGCGUGCGCAGGCGGUUUGCUAAGACCGAUGUGAAAUCCCCGGGCUCAACCUGGGAACUGCAUUGGUGACUGGCAGGCUAGAGUAUGGCAGAGGGGGGUAGAAUUCCACGUGUAGCAGUGAAAUGCGUAGAGAUGUGGAGGAAUACCGAUGGCGAAGGCAGCCCCCUGGGCCAAUACUGACGCUCAUGCACGAAAGCGUGGGGAGCAAACAGGAUUAGAUACCCUGGUAGUCCACGCCCUAAACGAUGUCAACUAGUUGUUGGGGAUUCAUUUCCUUAGUAACGUAGCUAACGCGUGAAGUUGACCGCCUGGGGAGUACGGUCGCAAGAUUAAAAGCUCAAAAUGAA
rnacentral:rRNA from 1 species